rnacentral:snoRNA from 1 species
UACAUGAUGAUUAACUUUACCAAUAAUAACUUUCGUUCUACUGAAUAGGAUCAAACGAUCUUGUAGAGAACUUCUACUCUGAUU